GACUGGAGGGACCUGUUCACCAACACUGUCUUCACCCUAGGGUCAAGUCCAUCAGCCCUAGAACCAGCUAAUCUUCCUGCAGAAGAUAUAAGCACAAACUCCAAUGGUGCGAGACCCUCAGAAGUUGUACUAGAUGAUGACAGAAAUCUUUUUGCCAAAGCCACAGAAGUUUCUGUGGACAGUCUAGAAAGGGAACCUACCCUCUCCUUGUAACCUUCUCCUGCAAUCACCCUAUCACCCCUACUACAGUUAUUGCUGCCAGAAUUGAAUCAAAGAGUGUGUCUGCUCCUGUGUUCUUUGACAGAUCCAGGAAGGGGGUACAG
rnacentral:lncRNA from 1 species